GAUGAAGAACGCAGCGAAAUGCGAUAAGUAGUGUGAAUUGCAGAAUUCAGUGAAUCAUCGAAUCUUUGAACGCACAUUGCGCCCCUUGGUAUUCCAUGGGGCAUGCCUGUUCGAGCGUCAUCUACACCCUCAAGCUCUGCUUGGUGUUGGGCGUCUGUCCCGCCUUUGCGCGUGGACUCGCCCCAAAUUCAUUGGCAGCGGUCCUUGCCUCCUCUCGCGCAGCACAUUUGCGCUUCUCGAGGUGCGCGGGCCGCGUCCACGAAGCAACUAUUACCGUCUUUGACCUCGGAUCAGGUAGGGAUACCCGCUGAACUUAAGCAUAUCAAUAAGCGGAGGA
rnacentral:misc_RNA from 1 species